UACGAAGGGGGCUAGCGUUGCUCGGAAUCACUGGGCGUAAAGGGUGCGUAGGCGGGUCUUUAAGUCAGGGGUGAAAUCCUGGAGCUCAACUCCAGAACUGCCUUUGAUACUGAAGAUCUUGAGUGCGGGAGAGGUGAGUGGAACUGCGAGUGUAGAGGUGAAAUUCGUAGAUAUUCGCAAGAACACCAGUGGCGAAGGCGGCUCACUGGCCCGAUACUGACGCUGAGGCACGAAAGCGUGGGGAGCAAACAGGG
rnacentral:rRNA from 1 species